rnacentral:rRNA from 1 species
GACGAACGCUGGCGGCGUGCUUAACACAUGCAAGUCGAACGGAAAGGCCCUGCUUUUGUGGGGUGCUCGAGUGGCGAACGGGUGAGUAACACGUGAGUAACCUGCCCUUGACUUUGGUAUAACUUCAGGAAACUGGGGCUAAUAUCGGAUAGGAGCUCCUGCUGCAUGGUGGGGGUUGGAAAGUUGCGGCGGUUGGGGAUGGACUAGCGGCUUAUCAGCUUGUUGGUGGGGUAGUGGCUUACCCAGGGUUUGACGGGUAGGCGGCCUGAGAGGGUGGCCGGCCACAUUGGUACUGAGAUAGGGCCCAGACUGCUACGGGAGGCAGCAGUGGGGAAUAUUGCACAAUGGGCGGAAGCCUGAUGCAGCAACGCCGCGUGCGGGAUGACGGCCUUCGGGUUGUAAACCGCUUUCGCCUGUGACGAAGCGUGAGUGACGGUAAUGGGUAAAGAAGCACCGGCUAACUACGUG